UACGAAGGGUGCUAGCGUUGUUCGGAAUGACUGGGCGUAAAGGGCGUGUAGGCGGCUUUGUGCGUCAGAUGUGAAAUCCCUGGGCUUAACCUAGGAACUGCAUUUGAUACGGCAAGGCUAGAGAUGGAUAGAGGGUAGUGGAAUUGCGAGUGUAGAGGUGAAAUUCGUAGAUAUUCGCAGGAACACCAGUGGCGAAGGCGGCUACCUGGGUCCAUACUGACGCUGAGGCGGCGAAAGCGUGGGAGCAAACAGG
rnacentral:rRNA from 1 species